rnacentral:tRNA from 3 species
GGACGCAUAGCUCAGUUGGUUAGAGCAUUCGCUUGAUAAGCGAAAGGUCCGUGGUUCGAGUCCACGUGCGUCCA